rnacentral:misc_RNA from 1 species
UACGUAGGUGGCAAGCGUUGUCCGGAAUUAUUGGGCGUAAAGCGCGCGUAGGCGGAUUAGUCAGUCAGAGGUGAAAUCCCAGGGCUCAACCUUGGAACUGCCUUUGAUACUGCUGGUCUAGAGAUCGAGAGAGGUGAGUGGAAUUCCGAGUGUAGAGGUGAAAUUUGUAGAUAUUCGGAGGAACACCAGUGGCGAAGGCGGCUCACUGGCUCGAUACUGACGCUGAGGUGCGAAAGCGUGGGGAGCAAACAGG